CGGACAGUGUCUGGUGGGUAGUUUGACUGGGGCGGUCUCCUCCUAAAGAGUAACGGAGGAGCACGAAGGUUGGCUAAUCCUGGUCGGACAUCAGGAGGUUAGUGCAAUGGCAUAAGCCAGCUUGACUGCGAGCGUGACGGCGCGAGCAGGUGCGAAAGCAGGUCAUAGUGAUCCGGUGGUUCUGAAUGGAAGGGCCAUCGCUCAACGGAUAAAAGGUACUCCGGGGAUAACAGGCUGAUACCGCCCAAGAGUUCAUAUCGACGGCGGUGUUUGGCACCUCGAUGUCGGCUCAUCACAUCCUGGGGCUGAAGUAGGUCCCAAGGGUAUGGCUGUUCGCCAUUUAAAGUGGUACGCGAGCUGGGUUUAGAACGUCGUGAGACAGUUCGGUCCCUAUCUGCCGUGGGCGCUGGAGAACUGAGGGGGGCUGCUCCUAGUACGAGAGGACCGGAGUGGACGCAUCACUGGUGUUCGGGUUGUCAUGCCAAUGGCACUGCCCGGUAGCUAAAUGCGGAAGAGAUAAGUGCUGAAAGCAUCUAAGCACGAAACUUGCCCCGAGAUGAGUUCUCCCUGACCCUUUAAGGGUCCUGAAGGAACGUUGAAGACGACGACGUUGAUAGGCCGGGUGUGUAAGCGCAGCGAUGCGUUGAGCUAACCGGUACUAAUGAACCGUGAGGCUUAACCUUACAACGCCGAAGCUGUU
rnacentral:rRNA from 1 species